CUUGGCUCCCUUACAGAUUGUGGGCAUGCCUGUGAUGUAAGUUCCUCAUCUGUCUCCUUUCAGACCAUCUUCUGUGAAGUUUAUUCAGCUCAUAAGUGUGAAUAAAAAAUUGCUAAAUGUGAACUCAAAGAGACAGUGCAGUUUUACAUCUGAGUCCACUGAAUGCAUCACAGAAGCAGCAUGUGCAGCAACAGGAGUCCAAUAGCGUCAACCACCAGGAAACAAGGAUCACGGAGCAUGUGAGAAAAUGGUAAUUGAGAAGGCUGAUCAAGGAACACACUAAAAUUGGAGGCAUGAAACACUUGCAGAAUUGUCCCAAUGGUCCAUCUGGGGAUCCUGGGAACAAGUGUCUUUCAAGCCACGACCAGUCUUUCUACUUCUUCCUCAUACUUUGUAUCUGGCUUGUGUACAUGUCACAGAAUCAGGUACUAAAACAAGAGGUGAUACAGAAAUAAGCUAUCCCAAAUAUAGCAUUAAGUGAAACAAACACAUCGUAUACUAGUUAUUAUAUCCGGAAGUUUGCAUUUUAUAUGCCUCAUGGAGAUACUUAGCGAUAUUCAGCAACCUUGCAAAUGGAGUGGUCUCUGCCAGACAGCUACUAACAGCUGUAGAACAAUUUCAGAAGCUGCUUACCCAAGAAGUCUAAUGUGGAAGGACAUGGCUGUCACUGCCUGGGGAAGCAAAUAGGAAAGAAUAUGACAAAGGAGGAAAUCAGCUGUUGGACCAAAGAAUUUAAACUUUGAUAAAAUGCCAACCGUCGAAGACAGUUGCUGUCUCACACAAAAUCCCAAGAACUGUGCAUACUCUACUUCUGUCAGCCUAGCAAUUUGCUCAGCUAUUGCUAUUUUGGGAAGGAAUUUCCACCAAGCUGGCGUAUCUUCAGCCCCUGAGGUUUCCUCUGAUUGACUGAUUAACAGGUGUUGAAAAAGCCUGUUGUAGAAAUAUCACAGACCCAGUGUGCUCGUUUGACUUCUGUAACUGUGACUGUAGUUUCAUUGAAUAUAUUGUUUCUUAAGAAGACUUUCUGCAGGGUAAAAUCAAAACAGAUUAUUUAUAACAUUUUUAGGUAAUUACUUUUCCAUAGAGACAGCAUAUGCAUUUGUUAAUAUGCUUUAUUAUUUAUGAAUUAUAAAUUGAAUAUGGUACUAAUGAUUGUGCAGAUGAAAGCUAAAUUAAUAUAACACAGAGUGAACUUGUCAAAGAAAUGUUGGCAUUAUAAGCCUAAAAAUGCAGUCAGCCCUCCGUGGACUCUACAUUUGGUAAUUCAACCAACAGUGCAUCCAAAAUAUUUUUAAAAAGCCAACAAUACAACAAUGAA
rnacentral:lncRNA from 1 species